rnacentral:rRNA from 1 species
UACGUAGGGACCUAGCGUUGUCCGGAAUCAUUGGGCGUAAAGCGCGCGUAGGCGGCCCGGUACGUCCGUUGUCAAAGUCGAAGGCUCAACCUUCGAAAGCCGAUGGAUACUGCCGGGCUAGAGUACGGAAGAGGCGAGUAGAAUUCCUGGUGUAGCGGUGGAAUGCGCAGAUAUCAGGAGGAAUACCCAUAGCGAAGGCAGCUCGCUGGGACGGUACUGACGCUGAGACGCGAAAGCGUGGGGAGCGAACAGG